UUUAGUUUGUUUUCAUUUUUGUUUUUAUCCCAUGUUUGUUUUUAGUUUUUUUCCUUUUUCUAUUAUUAUUACUAUUACUAUUAUUAUUACUACCUAUUCUAAUACUAACAUGCAGUACCUUUUUACUAAUAGUAUGACCUUUUUUUACUUUCAGGAUAACAUAACUUAUCACUAACUUAGGAAUAUGGAGCACGUUGACGAUAUGGAGGUUAUAUUUAGGAACGAAAAUCAGAGGCGUUGUUUUGACAUGUUAGCACAGAGGGAGAUGUCACUUUCU
rnacentral:lncRNA from 1 species